UACGUAGGGGGCUAGCGUUGUCCGGAAUCAUUGGGCGUAAAGCGCGUGUAGGCGGCCCGGUAAGUCCGCUGUGAAAGUCGGGGGCUCAACCCUCGAAUGCCGGUGGAUACUGUCGGGCUUGAGUACGGAAGAGGCGAGUGGAAUUCCUGGUGUAGCGGUGAAAUGCGCAGAUAUCAGGAGGAACACCGAUGGCGAAGGCAGGUCUCUGGGCCACUACUGACGCUGAGAAGCGAAAGCGUGGGGAGCGAACAGG
rnacentral:rRNA from 1 species